AGGAACUCCCAGUCAACCUGUCACAGAGCGACAGGUACUUCCAAGGGGCGGGGCCGGCCGCGGCGUUCCCUGCCAAUCGGUGCAAAGCUGGUCAUAGUUCCUGAGCUCCUACUUAUACACCUUGCUGUGACUUUAAAGCUGUCAAAGAGAUUGCUGAAGGAUAAAGAAAAUCUGUGGAACAUGGGGUAAGAGAUUUUUUAAAUCUAUGUAAUCUGGCAGUAUUACAAAUCUAUGUCAUCCGGCAGUUUUAAAAAUCUAAGUCAUCUGGCAGUUUUUGAGCCGGGCUUUUUGCCUCCGUGCACGUGCUCGGACAUGCACUUUGGUGUGGAGCAAAUUGUGCCACUUGGGGCAAAAUAACCCUGCCUGGCUUCUCCUGGAUCUGCAGCCAGGGGAAGCUAGAGCCCGGGGCCAGCACCUUUGCUGUCCCCAGCAGUGUAAAAAGCUGCCCUGUCCUGGCCCCAUCCAUACAAAAAGCUGCCCUGGUAAGCAGCUCAGGGCUACUCACUCUCUGGAGCUCCUGAGGCCCAGCCAAUUAAUACCUGGGGAUACUACCCCUUGUGCCAGCUGGACUGCUGCAGCAGCAUCCCAAAUCCAUUUUUUAAAAUACCCCCAAAUCCAUGUUCUUCCACAUUUAAAACAAAAAAACACUCUAUACACACACACACACACACACAUCUAGAGAGAGAGAGAAAGACAGUUAUAAGUUGGGUAAUGCUUUAUCGGUACAUUUACGAUGUUUAAGCAAUUUGGAAGCCUACCAGUGUUUCUAUCAUCAUGAAAAAAUAAAUUCUAAAUACUUAUGUGUU